CCGAGGGUAGCUCAAGUGGUAACAAGGAUGAGCUAUAAAUUCAGACAUCCCGAGUUCGAAACUCGGACACCUCUUGGU